UAAAAUUAUUUUGAACUCGCUCAAUAGGGGGCGCCACCAGCUCCAAUUAUGUGCAUGUGCCCGGUGCAAAUUUGGCCAUAAAUCAGUGACAG